UUUCCAGAGAUGGAUUGGUGCCUUCGGGAACCGUGAGACAGGUGCUGCAUGGCUGUCGUCAGCUCGUGUUGUGAAAUGUUGGGUUAAGUCCCGCAACGAGCGCAACCCUUAUCCUUUGUUGCCAGCGAUUCGGUCGGGAACUCAAAGGAGACUGCCAGUGAUAAACUGGAGGAAGGUGGGGAUGACGUCAAGUCAUCAUGGCCCUUACGACCAGGGCUACACACGUGCUACAAUGGCGCAUACAAAGAGAAGCGACCUCGCGAGAGCAAGCGGACCUCAUAAAGUGCGUCAUAGUCCGGAUUGGAGUCUGCAACUCGACUCCAUGAAGUCGGAAUCGCUAGUAAUCGUGGAUCAGAAUGCCACGGUGAAUACGUUCCCGGGCCUUGUACACACCGCCCGUCACACCAUGGGAGUGGGUUGCAAAAGAAGUAGGUAGCUUAACCUUCGGGAGGGCGCUUACCACUUUGUGAUUCAUGACUGGGGUGAAGUCGUAACAAGGUAACCGUAGGGGAACCUGCGGUUGGAUCACCUCCUUA
rnacentral:rRNA from 1 species